rnacentral:rRNA from 1 species
GACGAACGCUGGCGGCGUGCCUAAUACAUGCAAGUCGAGCGGACGGAUGGGAGCUUGCUCCCAGACCGUCAGCGGCGGACGGGUGAGUAACACGUGGGCAACCUGCCUGUAAGACUGGGAUAACUCCGGGAAACCGGGGCUAAUACCGGAUAACUCUUUCCCUCACAUGAGGGAAAGCUGAAAGAUGGCAUCUCGCUAUCACUUACAGAUGGGCCCGCGGCGCAGUAGCUAGUUGGUGGGGUAACGGCUCACCAAGGCGACGAUGCGUAGCCGACCUGAGAGGGUGAUCGGCCACACUGGGACUGAGACACGGCCCAGACUCCUACGGGAGGCAGCAGUAGGGAAUCUGCCGCAAUGGACGAAAGUCUGACGGAGCAACGCCGCGUGAGUGAUGAAGGUUUUCGGAUCGUAAAACUCUGUUGUCAGGGAAGAACAAGUACCGGAGUAACUGCCGGUAGCUUGACGGUACCUGACCAGAAAGCCACGGCUAACUACGUG